UGUCGACGGCCUCUGGCUCAUCCUUUUCCCAUAUGUACUUACCGGUGUGAUUAAUCAGCUAGCUAGUCGAAGCUUUUCUGCAAUAAUUAAUGAUGGGCAGCGGCAGCGGGCCUGCCCGGCCGAAAAAGGUCACUCUGGCCGGGGGCCGUCUGCAAAAGCAAGCCACGUGACCGACCUCUGCGCUGCUGCUGCUGCUGCUGCUGCACCGUUGGCUCUGUG
rnacentral:lncRNA from 1 species